GAUGAACGCUGGCGGCGUGCCUAACACAUGCAAGUCGAGCGAAGAGCUUAAAUUAGUUUUCUUCGGACUUUCGAUUCUUGUGACUGAGUGACGGACGGGUGAGUAACGUGUGGGUAACCUGCCUCAUACAGGGGGAUAACCGUUAGAAAUGUAUGCUAAUACCGCAUAAGACUCCAGCUUCGCAUGAAGCGGUGGUAAAAACUCUGGUGGUAUGGGAUGGACCCGCGCUUGUUUAGAUAGUUGGUAAGGUAACGGGAUACCAUGGCGACGAGCAGUAGCCGGGCAGUGAGACAGGGCCGACACAUUGGGGGUGGGACGCGGUAGAGACUCCUACGCGAGGGAGGAAUGGGGGAUAUUGCACAGUGGGGGGAGCGCUGAUGCAGCGACGAUGGGUGAAGGAUGAAGUUAGGCAGUAUGUAAAGUGUUAGCAGCUGUGAAGAACGUGACGGUACCUGACUAGGAAGCCCCGGCUAACUACGUG
rnacentral:rRNA from 1 species